GAUGAACGCUGGCGGCGUGCCUAAUACAUGCAAGUCGAGCGAACGGACGAGAAGCUUGCUUCUCUGAUGUUAGCGGCGGACGGGUGAGUAACACGUGGAUAACCUACCUAUAAGACUGGGAUAACUUCGGGAAACCGUAGCUAAUACCGGAUAAUAUUUUGAACCGCAUGGUUCAAAAGUGAAAGACGGUCUUGCUGUCACUUAUAGAUGGAUCCGCGCUGCAUUAGCUAGUUGGUAAGGUAACGGCUUACCAAGGCAACGAUGCAUAGCCGACCUGAGAGGGUGAUCGGCCACACUGGAACUGAGACACGGUCCAGACUCCUACGGGAGGCAGCAGUAGGGAAUCUUCCGCAAAGGGCGAAAGCCUGACGGAGCAACGCCGCGUGAGUGAUGAAGGUCUUCGGAUCGUAAAACUCUGUUAUUAGGGAAGAACAUAUGUGUAAGUAACUGUGCACAUCUUGACGUUACCUAAUCAGAAAGCCACGGCUAACUACGUG
rnacentral:rRNA from 1 species